AGAAGAGACUUGGAGUAAAGCAGGGCUGCUAACUUUGCUUUGGGUAAUUCGAUUAUAUCCCUCUUCUU
rnacentral:tRNA from 5 species